AUGACUAGGGAUAACUUUAGGAAAAGACAAAUUAUUAAGCCGCUAGAUUGUGUGUUCUACUAUGAGGCUGAAACAUGUUCGCAUUUGUUCUUUGACUGUGUGGUCUCUAGACAGAUUUGGCCUCUGGUCUCAAGUCAUUUCGGGGUGGAUACUGGAACUGACUUUGAAUCGGUGGCCAAAUUCUGGAUUGCUAACAAAAAGCAUGCUGCCCUCAACACUGUUAAUGCUGCUGUACUUUGGUGUAUUUGGAAAUAUAGGAACUCUAUGAUUUUCAAUAACACCUUAUGGACAUCGAUUAAGCAGGUGUUGAGGCUGAUCUUAAAAACUAUCAAGAGCUGGGGGAUACUGUCCUCGGAUGGAGAUGUGGUAAGGCUGGAGGCCUUCACAACACACCUCGCGACUCAUUUGAGACAACCACUGAUGAUCAGUGGCUGGCCCUGA
rnacentral:rRNA from 1 species